UUCCUUUUUUUAUUUUUCCAGUUCCAUAACAGGCACAACAAAACUGCAGUUUCUGUCAAAGGGGUGGAUGGCAAUUGAAAACUUGACCUCCAAUCUCUCUGCAAAAAUGGGCUACUCCAUUCUCUCUGCAAAAGUGGGCAAAAUCAGCCCAUUGGUUGAGGUUGCAAUGAGCCAAGAUAAUGCCACUGCUCUCCAGCCUUGGCAAAAGAGUGAGAUCCUGUCUCAAAAAAUAAAUACACAAAAUAAAAAUGAAAAAUAAAAUAAGCUGCAUUCACAUAAGGCAUGCACAUACACACACGGAUGCACACACACGUACAUUCUGGCUCUUAUCACCCCACCCCAACGCACACACACGUACAUUCUGGCUCUCAUCACCCCACCCCAACAUACGCAAACACAUGCACACACUGCGCCAAGGCAUAUAUAGAUACCUUGGUAGUUAGCUCAUCACCAAGUUAUCUUACAGUGUUACUGGAUUGAUGGGGAUCACUUACUAUUACCUCUUAUCCUCAAGUAAUGGGCACCAGAAAUAAAACUACCACCUUAAACUUCAUGAAGUUAUUGCUGGUGCAAAGGGGGUUUUGUCUCAUGUGUAAACAUCUGGCCAUACUGGCUGUGGUUGGAUAUGGGACAGGGAAGGUGGCUUUGGGGUUCCUGCCUGCAUCUCAGCCUCACCCACCACGCCCACCCUCAACCUGGGCCCAGCAGAGGAGGAGCACUGCACAUCCUUGGACCCACAGGUGACUGGAGCAUGGCUUUCCAAGGACCCUCUGGCCAACCCCCACGCUGCACAGAUUCAGGCCUGCUCAUCUCUUAAGACCAGCCAGCUCAGGCUUCAAGUGUUUCUGGAAGCAUCCCUUCCCUUUCUCCCUCCCAGAUCAGGGUGUUGAUACCUGACUGAUUUUCAUGAGCUAGAGCUAUGCUGGGUAAGCCCUGUGCACGUGUACUUUCCUCCCACGGAGACCCCACAAAUGCUCUAUUGCCAGUCCCACUAUACAGAUGAGGACAUUGAGGGGAAGAGGCAUUAAGCUACCUGGGCAGAGCCCUGUGGCCGGCAGCUGGGAGAACCUGGAUCCCUGCCACAACACUGUCUCCAGGGCUCACACUCCCAACGUCCCAACAUGCCCCUGGCGGGUUUCUCCAUGGGGCAUGUGGGCAACAUCCGGCUUUCCUCACUGUGGUAUUGUGUUCCAAUCUCCUGCAGGGGUCAUCUGGAGAGAUGAGCUGGUUUAUGGGGCAGCAGCUCCAUACCUGGCUCACAAUUGGCAUUUGUUCAGCAUCUGUGACAUCAUUCACUCUGUCUUGGGUCAUGGGUCACCAUUUCCUUCACCUCUCAGGGAAGCAGAGUAUGCCGAGACAGAGUGAAAGGGCGUUUUGACUUGUGGAGUGGUUCGGAGCCGCCCUGGCGGCAGAUAGUAGAGCCAACUGAAGAGCCCACGACUGUUUUUUCCAAU
ensembl:lincRNA